UCUCUCUCUCUCUCUCUCUCUCUCCCUCUCUCUCUCCCUCUCUCUGAGUUGAAGAAAUUACUCUCGUCUCAUCAGUCAAAGAGAUGGCAAAGUUCACAACCUUCUUCAUAAUGGCUCUCCUCUUGUGUUCGACGCUAACAUACGCCGCUCGGCCCGCUCCCGCCGGAGAAACCCCCGUCGAGGCUGCAGGGGAAUAUAAGGUGGUCGAGGAGAGCUGCGAAGGAGUUGGAGAAGAAGAAUGCUUGAUACGAAGAACCCUUGUCGCUCACACCGAUUAUAUCUACACCCAAAACCACAAGCCAUGAUGAGUCAUAAUUAAUUAGCUCAUUAAUUGCUCUUUUAAUUACGUAAUAAUUAGUUAUAUGAUUAUGUCAUUUUAUUAUAGCUGAAGCUAUAUAUAUAUAGCUUUGAAAUCUGAAUUACUCUCGUGUGUUGAACGGUCUCGAUCACGUCGUACUUUUUCUUAGUUUGCGGCUUUAUUACGGUUGUGUCAUUAUGGUUUUAUUCGGUAUUAGUUAUGUCUGUAAAGCUGUAAAACCCGUGUGCUCUGAGUCACUACAAAGAUUUGAUAUAAUGCGUGUUUUGUUGCAA